AGCAUGGAAAUCCCCUGAGUGAAACAACGAAUUGCUGUGUGUAGUCUUUGCCCAUCUCCCACGAUGGGCUUUUUUUUAA
rnacentral:antisense_RNA from 1 species